GGGAUCUCAGUGGCCAGCUGAUCCAUUUAGGGCAGGACUCACCCUUAGGGAUGGUCCCUCAGUCUCUGCUGAAAUAAAUUCCCAAGGCUUUCAUAGGAAGUGGACAUGACGGAAACAUCACGGAAGACUCUAGCAUGUGAGGUCGACGAUACCGAGAAGAGCUCCCAGCACACAGGAGCGGACUGGCUCUGUGGUUGAGGGUAGGGCAGCCCAGAACAGAGAGACGCUGAGAAAAAAAAAAGAUAUUGUCUGUUUUCUCCAGAGCUUAUUUCUCUUUCAGAUUACAGCCCAGGUGAACAAGGAGGCUUGCCGGCCCUAAUCUUGUGGGCUGCGUCCCGCGGGCUGGUGUUGGCGGGCAUCCUGCAGUCUUCUAUUUCAGGCUCCACGGCCUCAGAUCCAUCAACUAUCUCUCACGCAACAGGAUUCUUCUACCACUGUUCUUAUGGAAUUUGCC
rnacentral:lncRNA from 1 species